UGCCAGCAACGGCUGUCCCGACUGGCAGCAGCCAUUCAAGGGCAUCUGCGGCGCAGGCCGCGAGUGCUGCUUCAAAGACUAUCAAAACCACAAGUUAAAGUGUGGUCCAAUUUCGGGGGCGAUUGUACUCGGCCGCGCAGUUGUGGCAAUGCACCUCAGCACAAGAACGCCUUCUGCCCGAAGAAAGGCCAGGUCUGCUGCAUCUGGCUCUUCUGAAGAGGCCGGAGCGAGGCACAGCGUGACCUGCGCGGGAUCUGGAGAGAAGCUGGCGAUGAUCUGGGGUAUUUUGAGAAUAUCUGAAUCCUGAAGUUGUGCCGGACGUUAUCUGAAGGGAAUUUAAUGGUGAUGAGAGCGUUGGUGAUUGUCUGCAAGUAGACUGGACAUAAUUUGGGGCGAUGGUAUUGUCUGCCAACUUCGGAUACCAACUGGAAAGAAAGUGAGCUGGAACUUAUUUGAAGUGUUAUAGAUAUGAUCAUGGGGUGUUGGGAAGGCAUUCUGGAGAUGUUUCAAAUAAGAUCUGAGCCCUUUUAUGCUUGGCGAAACCUAUCCGGACGAAAAGAAAUUGCACCCUAAAUGGACAUCGUUAUAUAGCCAGUGAUAUAACCGCUGUAAUAUCGGAGUUUUAUGCUUUGGCCGAGCUUAGGCACGUACCACAUGGUGUCGCAGUUAUUCACAAGUGUGCACUUUCUAAAGGGCGCUGCUAUAAUGAAGAAUAUAUAAUACGCCUGGUUUUUAACCUGGUCUUAUGACCUAUGACUAUCUUUAUUGGUGUCGAACGCGAGCAAAGUUGUGCUUGCAUGCAUUGGAGUGGUUCCUUUGAGCUUUUCUGUGCAUUUACACUAACAUAAGAUAUUCUUUGCGUCGAA
rnacentral:lncRNA from 1 species